rnacentral:rRNA from 1 species
GGGGAUUAAUUCCAGAGGUUAAUAUACAUGCAGUCGAGCGAACAGAGAAGGAGCUUGCUCCUUUGACGUUAGCGGCGGACGGGUGAGUAACACGUGGGCAACCUACCUUAUAGUUUGGGAUAACUCCGGGAAACCGGGGCUAAUACCGAAUAAUCUGUUCCACCUCAUGGUGGAACACUGAAAGACGGUUUCGGCUGUCGCUAUAGGAUGGGCCCGCGGCGCAUUAGCUAGUUGGUGAGGUAACGGCUCACCAAGGCGACGAUGCGUAGCCAACCUGAGAGGGUGAUCGGCCACACUGGGACUGAGACACGGCCCAGACUCCUACGGGAGGCAGCAGUAGGGAAUCUUCCACAAUGGGCGAAAGCCUGAUGGAGCAACGCCGCGUGAGUGAAGAAGGUUUUCGGAUCGUAAAACUCUGUUGUAAGGGAAGAACAAGUACAGUAGUAACUGGCUGUACCUUGACGGGUACCUUAUUAGAAAGCCACGGCUAACUACGGUGCCAGCAGCCGCGGGUAAUACGUAGGUGGCAAGCGUUGGUCCGGGAAUUAUUGGGCGUAAAGCGCCGCGCAGGCGGUCUUUUAAGUCUGAUGUGAAAGCCCACGGCUCACCGUGGAGGGUCAUGGAAACUGGGGGACUUGAGUGCGAAAGGAAGUGGAUUCCAGUGUACCGUGAAUGCCUAAAUUUGAGGACACAUGCGAAGCACUUCUGUCUUACUACCUU